rnacentral:rRNA from 1 species
GACGAAGGUGGCAAGCGUUGCUCGGAAUUACUGGGCUUAAAGCGGGCGCAGGCGGCCCGGUCAGUCGGAUGUGAAAGCCCUCGGCUCAACCGAGGAAUGGCACCCGAUACUGCCGGGCUUGAGGCAUUCAGGGGCGACUGGAACUCUCGGUGGAGCGGUGAUAUGCGUAGAUAUCGAGAGGAACGCCAAUAGCGAAGGCAGGUCGCUGGGGAUGUCCUGACGCUGAGGCCCGAAAGCCAGGGGAGCGAACGGGAUUAGAUACCCCCGUA